UGUCAAUCAUUCUGCCCACUUCUUGUUUCCUGCUGCAGAGCCCGCCCACCAAGGACACUACAGCUGUGUUUAUCACAUCUAUGUUUUUUCUCAUAAUUUCUCCUCUGAGAGCCGCCUGCUGUCUGUCACUGUGUCAGGCCUGCAGGAGGCAGAAGCCGAGCACACCUGAGAACACUGAGCUGGUUUACUGUAACUUCAGUCUUUGUGCAGCUGAAGGAGCAGAAGACGGCCUCCGAGGAGCUUGUCUCAAACCCAGAUGAACUUCUUAUUUGUAAAAACACAGACUGGUUUCUGCUGAACCCACAUUUACAAUCAGAGAACAGUUUCAGUACAAAUGAAACUUGAGACUUCCUCAAAUUAUAAGUUUCACCCUUACAGAUACAAACAGUUCUCAUCUUUGAGUUUUCCAAACAUUUAAAUUAAAGUCUCACUGACUCAGUGAUGAAAAAUCCAUUUUAUUUUAAGAAUUUCCUUUUCCUUUCCAGUCAUCUGUGUCUUUGAUCCAUUUGGUACUUUCCACACGACUUUCAUUUCUUCAUUUUCCACAGAUACCAACUAUCAACAUUUCAUUAAACGUGUUGUCAGCAAAACUUUAUGUGUCGAUUCUUCAUCAUAAGUUUACUUUUGAACUAUAAUCAUAAUUUAAUCAUGAGAUUAUGGAAACAAUCAAUUUACGGUCACUUCAUUAUAAGUUUAAACUUCUAUGCAAAUAGACUUUCAGCUUAAUAUAUUUCUUAUUCUUCAGCUUUUUAAUAUUCCUGUGUGAUCUAACCUCCACCUCCUCUCGUUGGUUUCCUUGGUGAUGUCUGAAGGAUGGGUGAUAAUCAGCUCUGGAUCUUCUGCUGCUGGUUCAGGGGAGGUACAGUGAGAUUCUGGAGCAGGAUCUGGGUUCUGUGAUGCAGGGUGGGCCUGUCAUGUGUCUUUCUCUUCUUCUGUGUGUGGUUUUUUUUGUUUUUUUUUGUUUAGAGCUUUCUUCCCCAGGUUUCUCAUUUCAGUUGGAGUCCUGUGAGUCUUCUUGUCUAAGUCGGGUCUGUGACUCUGCUGUUUUUAUAGCAUGGACCUGUGAGGUCCAUGAUCUUUCCUGGUUCUAUCUUCACUACCUGUCCUUCUUUUUGAUUCCUGUUUGUCAGCCACAGAUCAGAUCCUAAUCUUCUUCUUCCAUCACGACAGAUGUUUCAGUUACUAAGAGAUGUCUGCAGGAGAGAGGAGGUUUGCAGGAGGAGCUGUAAUCAGCAUCCACAGCUAUGUUUGUUGCAGACGUUUUUUUUCCUGUGAUUUUCGAAAGAUGACAAAAAAAAAAACCACAAGGGAGGACUUCAUAAAUAUGUGCUUUAACUGAAUCAUCACACUUAGUCUUUCCUGUGUGUGAGAUACAAUGAGUAUGGUGUCUUUAAAUUCUUGUCUUAUUUGUAUUAAAAUGAUUUUAUUAAAAUAAUGUUGAUCGUUACACUCGUAUUAUGUCUGAUAUCAUGAAGCAGAGCAGUGGCUGUGAAUAGAUCAUAUUUAACUGACGUCACCUUCAAAUGAAGUCAUUUUGUUUUAUCAGCUGUUGUAUUAACUCCUCUUUUAUUACACACUGUUAUCAGCUCAAUUGAGGUGAACCGUGAUGUUCUUCUUUAAUCUCAGUUUUCUCCUCCUUUAGCUCUUUCCUCCUCUGUGCCUCCUGCUCAUCAGUCUGCUGUGAUUUACUUCCUCUCACCAGUUUCGUUAAACACAGAAGGCUGUGCAGAAUAAACAGCAGUGAGGUCUCGGGUGUGCGUGGCUCAGGAGGUGGAGUGGUUCAUCUACUAAUGGGAAAGUUAGUUAUUCGAUCCUUGCCUCCUCAAGUAUGCAUGUUAAAGCAUUGGCUGGAGAGUACUGAACUGUCAGAGUAUGAGAGUGUGAAUGCAGACAAAGUGCUCUAACAGUGUGUGUGAAGAGGCUAAUAGCAGAAAAUAGUUUUUGCAGCAUCAUAAAUUUUCAGAGGAAGCAAAAUCUGCAUGAUGAAGCAGGAUAAAGUCAGGCAGCGCCUUUUCCUUCCAUCAGCGAUUAGAGGUCAAGAGGGAAAGACGAGGAAUUGGUGAAUGCUGACUAACCAUCUUUAUGAGCUUCACUAUUUUUGAAAAGUCAUUUAAUAAUUUAUCUGUGCUGUUUAUAUGAAGCAAAACUGCUUCCUUUAGCAGGUUUUUACGGUUUUUGUUUCAGUUCUGCUGCCAUAAGCACAGAUAAUCAUGCCUGCUUCAUACCACAGUACCUGCAUGUAAUUUGGUUCCUUUUUUCUUAUUAAUUAUUACUAAUUUAACUUUAACUGUAUUUUUUAUUUUAAUACAGGUUGUGUUUUUUAUUGUUAUAGCUGUUUAAAUAAUAAAACAUAUCUUCUCUUA